CCGGACAACUUGGUUAAUUGCUUAGGAUUAAUUAUCUCGAUCGAAGUUUUGUUUACAUGUGCAGGAUUAACUAUGAUGAAAGUAAGACAUGCAGCAGGAGUUACGCCGGAGUCAUGACAAUGAUCACGUUGGGAGUUCGAGAGCUCGACGGAAGUUCGGACAGUCGUCGGAGGUUCUACGGGAACAAAUCCGAGAAGCCCAG
rnacentral:lncRNA from 1 species